rnacentral:rRNA from 1 species
AGCGAACGCUGGCGGCAGGCUUAACACAUGCAAGUCGAGCGGGCACCUUCGGGUGUCAGCGGCAGACGGGUGAGUAACACGUGGGAACGUACCCUUUGGUUCGGAACAACUCUGGGAAACUGGAGCUAAUACCGGAUACGCCCUUAUGGGGAAAGGUUUACCGCCGAAGGAUCGGCCCGCGUCUGAUUAGCUAGUUGGUGAGGUAACGGCCCACCAAGGCGACGAUCAGUAGCUGGUCUGAGAGGAUGAUCAGCCACACUGGGACUGAGACACGGCCCAGACUCCUACGGGAGGCAGCAGUGGGGAAUAUUGGACAAUGGGCGCAAGCCUGAUCCAGCCAUGCCGCGUGAGUGAUGAAGGCC